GGCCGUUCCCCAACCGACCUGAUCCGAGGUCACCGUCGGUAAACAUGUGUGGUGACCAACCCCCGCAGGUCCUUCCCCAGCUAGUGACAGAGCCCCAUACGCUCGAGGACCAGACGGACGUCGCCGCUGCCUUUCUGGCAGGUCCCCGGGGGGACCACACCCAACACACAAGCCGUGCUUGAGGGCUGAAAUGAGGCUCUGAUAG
rnacentral:misc_RNA from 1 species